GAUGAACGCUGGCGGCGUGCCUAACACAUGCAAGUCGAGCGAUUCUCUUCGGAGAAGAGCGGCGGACGGGUGAGUAACGCGUGGGUACCGGCUUUAUACACAUGGAUAACAUACCGAAAGGUAUGCUAAUACGAGCUGAUAUAAGAGAUUCGCCUGGAUUUCUUAUCAAAGCUCCGGCGGUAUGAGAUGGACCCUCGUCUGAUUAGCUAGUUGGUAAGGUAACGGCUUACCAAGGCGACGAUCAGUAGCCGACCUGAGAGGGUGAUCGGCCACAUUGGAACUGAGACACGGUCCAAACUCCUACGGGAGGCAGCAGUGGGGAAUAUUGCACAAUGGGCGAAAGCCUGAUGCAGCAACGCCGCGUGAGCGAUGAAGGCCUUCGGGUCGUAAAGCUCUGUCCUCAAGGAAGAUAAUGACGGUACUUGAAGAGGAAGCCCCGGCUAACUACGUGCCAGCAGCCGCAGUAAUAC
rnacentral:rRNA from 1 species